CAAAGCAUACGGAGGCUGCAAGAGACCUCUCCUGAGGUGGAAAGUAGCUACAAAAUGUAAACUACGUGGUAACUUUUCCGUUGAUGUUCGUAUACGCAGGGCUGUCACUCCUGUAAUGUUUGGCGAGAGUGCAACAUGUUUCGGAAAAUACUGGAUGAAACAACGAACGCCAGCUCAGAUUUUGUAGCUACGUCCGCUUUCUUAAGGCUACUGAGGAGCUGGGUUAGGAAGGGUUUACUUUUCAACAUUUCCUUCAUCUGCUGAGUGUGCACAGCAGAACUGUUCGAUUGUCUACUGUGUUGCGCCACGCAUGGAGUGGCUGCAGCACAUCAAUGGCCUACCAGAUUUAUGGGAUCAGCCAUUGUGUACAUUGCCACAGCAGCACACCAACACGCUACCUGAUUUAUCGGUCUUCAGGUUUCCACCGUUGCAGCAGCUGCACCCACCUCAUUUAUCGUCUGACUUAAGUCUGCACUUAAAUUUCUGUCCAUCAGGUGACGCUGAGCCAUCCGAUAUGAACACAAUGUUGCCGAAUACAGUGUGUACUUUAUAAUCAGUGGCAACAGUAAAUGCAUCAGUGUGGGAAUUAUGUCAAAUUGUGAGUUCUACUCAGUGCUGGCUUUCGAAAAUCCUCAAUACAGUGAUACAAAAGACGUAUUAUCCCGGGAAGAGUGGAAUCGCCGAUGUGAUGCUUCAAUGCGUAUUACUACCAUGUCCAGUGCAAUUGCUCAAGAUCCCUCAGUCAUAUUAGGGGAUCAUGCAGUCUCUACAUGGGACUUACCAUGAAAAGUUAAACUUUUUAAUGUGAGAGAGUGCACUCAUCUACAAGAGCAAGCAUUUAAAAACCCAGUGCAUGCCAGUUACAUAAUCCAGCAUGCUGUAGACAAAGGAGGAAGCUGGCAGCCUUAUGUAUACAGAUCCUACAAGAGAAUAUGGACCAAUCUGGUGGAGCCAGUGCACCAAACUCAGAGGCCAUCAGACGAAACCGUCGCCUAAGUUUAUAACACCUUCAGCACAUCAGUAAAUGCAAAUAUGUAUGAAUCAGCCAUGUCUGAUGUAAGCAAA